UACGGGGGAUGCAAGCGUUAUCCGGAAUCAUUGGGCGUAAAGCGCCUGUAGGUUGUCUAUUAAGUCUGUUGUUAAAGACUAGGGCUUAACCCUAGAAAAGCAAUGGAAACUAAUAGACUAGAGUAUGGCAGGGGUAGAGGGAAUUUCUAGUGUAGCGGUGAAAUGCGUAGAUAUUAGAAAGAACACCAGUGGCGAAAGCGCUCUACUGGACCAUUACUGACACUCAGAGGCGAAAGCUAGGGUAGCAAAAGGGAUUAGAUACCCCUGUAGUCCUAGCCGUAAACGAUGGAUACUAGAUGUUGGGCGUUAUGUACAGUAUCUUAGCUAACGCGUUAAGUAUCCCGCCUGGGGAGUACGCUCGCAAGGGUG
rnacentral:rRNA from 1 species